GAGCGGCGGCAGGCUUACACGAUGCAAGUCGAACGCGACCGCAAGGUGAGUGGCAGACGGGUGAGUAACGACGUGGGAACGUACCCUUGUUGUUCGGAGAUAACCCAGGAAACUUGGGCUAAUACCGGAUACGCCCUUUGGGGGAAAGGUUUACUGCAGAAGGAUCGGCCCGCGUCCGAUUAGCUUGUUGGUGGGGUAAUGGCCUACCAAGGCUUCGAUCGGUAGCUGGUCUGAGAGGAUGACCAGCCACAUUGGGACUGAGACACGGCCCAAACUCCUACGGGAGGCAGCAGUGGGGAAUAUUGGACAAUGGGCGCAAGCCUGAUCCAGCCAUGCCGCGUGAGUGAUGACGGCCUUAGGGUUGUAAAGCUCUUUUACCUGGGAAGAUCAUGACGGUACCAGGAGAAUAAGCCCCGGCUAACUUCGUGCCAGCAGCCGCGGUAAUACGAAGGGGGCUAGCGUUGUUCGGAUUUACUGGGCGUAAAGGGCGCGUAGGCGGGCGACUAAGUCAGGGGUGAAAUCCCAAGGCUCAACCUUGGAACUUGCCUUUGAUACUGGUUGUCUUGAGUCCGGGAGAGGUGAGUGGAACUGCGAGUGUAGAGGUGAACACUUCGUA
rnacentral:rRNA from 1 species